CGGAGGGGCUAGCGUUGUUCGGAAUUACUGGGCGUAAAAGCGCACGUAGGCGGACUGGAAAGUUGGGGGUGAAAUACCCGGGGCGUCAACCUCGGAACUGCCUUCAAAACUAAUCAGUCUGGAGUUCGUAGAGGGGGUGGAGUGGAAUUCCGUAGUGUAGAGGUGAAAUUACGUAGAUAUUCGGAGGAACACCAGUGGCGGAAGGCGGCUCACUGGCUCGAUACUGACGCUGAGGUGCGAAAGCGUGGGGAGCAAACAGGAUU
rnacentral:rRNA from 1 species